CUCUAGCAAGACUGCCGUUGUUAAAACGGAGGAAGGUGGGGACGACGUCAAAUCAUCAUGCCCUUUAUGUCCUGGGCUACACACGUACUACAAUGGGUAAGACAGAGGGAAGCGAAAGUGCGAACUGGAGCAAAACCCUAAACUUAUUCUCAGUUCGGAUUGGAGUCUGAAAUUCGGCUCCAUGAAGCUGGAAUUGCUAGUAAUGGCAGGUCAGCAUACUGCGGUGAAUACGUUCCCGGGCCUUGUACACACCGCCCGUCACACCACGAAAGUCGGAAGUGCCCAAAGCCGGUGGGGUAACCUUCGGGAGCCAGCCGUCUAAGGUAAAGUCGAUGAUUGGGGUGAAGUCGUAACAAGGUAGCCGUAUCGGAAGGUGCGGCUGGAUCACCUCCUUUCUAGGGAGA
rnacentral:rRNA from 1 species